rnacentral:RNase_P_RNA from 1 species
UGCUUGAACACUCACGUUUAAGAGGAAAGUCCGGGCUGCAUGUGAGACAUGGUUCCGCCUAACGGACGGCUAGGGUAACCUAAGGGACAGUGCAACAGAGAGUAAACUACCAUUAUGCCUCUCUUGCGAAAGCAUAGCUUUUGUGAGAGGAAUUGGUGAUGAGCCUUGCUUGUCUCCAAGAAGACAGUUUAAUGGAAAAGGUGAAACGGUGGGGUAAGAGCCCACCAGUGUUCUAAGUAAUUAGAGCAGCUAGGUAAACCCAACCUGCAGCAAGAAGGGAUGGUUUUGGUCUCACACACGAUAA